ensembl:ncRNA lncRNA:CR45917 long non-coding RNA:CR45917
UCUUACACAAUAGUAAUCUGCCCCUUUAAGGGGCAUAUACAUAUUUCCAUUUCCCUUGGCAGACUUAAAGCAAACAAAAAGGUCCUUAAGUUUUAUUACUUUCUGUAUGCGAGAACCAACCCUAAAGCUUCUGAAAGCUUCCACCUUCGGCCCUUGAAGCUAAACUUUGAUUACUAUCCCAAGGAAAUAGUUUCACUGAGGAAGAGCUAUUCAAGCCAGUUGAACUGUAGGCCAUGAAUAAUGCAAUGGAUAGCUGACCAUGCUAAUAAACUAUCUACCACCUAAUUUUACGCCCGUCUUAAAGGCCACCCAGAAUCACUGGAGGUGUUUCCACGUAGAUUGCUGAUCGAUGUUGUGGGACGUCCAACGCACCAUCAUUCCCAUCCCGGGAUAUGGCGAGAAAAUAUGUGCCGGGAAAACUGGAACCUGCAGUCGGAAUUGCCGGCACAGCCGAAUGCCUAAUGCCAAAUGAAGUCUGAGUAGGCACAUCUCCAUUUGACCAAACUGGGUGGGGCCUCCAGGCCAUUUCUAUGUGCGUUGCCCCCUUGUUUACUCCUUUUUCUUUAAUAAUGCGUCUAUAUUUCUUAAUUAAAUUACAGCUUCUCGCAUUUGGGAGUGAGUGUGUGUAUGUGUGUGUAAUUACAGUGUUUAUGUGGCACUCGGACAUUCCUGGCUCCUCUCUUCCUUUUCCCAGCUGGAGUUGGCUGACUUGGCGUAUUGAUAAGGCCCAGGCCCACAAAAGGAACGCGAAAGGUGAGUGGUAUGGGGAUUGGGCAGUUUGGAGUUUGGAGCGGAUUGCAUCCGAGAUGUGAGUGCAGUGGUACAUUAAAACGUCACCUGAUGUAGGCCGUGCCCAGUGCUUAUUUGUUGCAUUUUCGAAAUACAAAUUGCACUAGUCCCGGCCUGCAAUGAGUGUCGCAGUCGACGAUCUACACAGUGCAAAAUAAUUUGUAAAAAUAAUUAAAAAUAAUAACUUCAUAGAUUUU